rnacentral:rRNA from 1 species
AUGGCCAUAUUUGAGUGCAUUCCGUCUGCCGGCGUUAGUGGUUGUGGGCCCGUGCAACUAAAUCCCCAAAUCAUUCUAGCUCACACCCAUCCGCCCGGCCGGCUGUCCUGCGUCGCCGCCGCCGCCACCUGCGUCGCGGCCAGCACCUGCCCCGCCACCAGCUGCACGGCCUGCUCCGCCGCUACCUCCCUGCGCCUACGCUCCACGGCUACCUGUGACGCCCACCACCUUCCUGCGACGCCACGGGUGGGGCGCCCGCCACCUGCUCGAUCCGCGGCGCGGCCUCCUUCCGUGCGCCCGGCCGGAGCGCUCAAAGGUGGGGGGCUACUGGAGCUAUUUGAACUAGGAGGAAGAACCCUAGGGCAAAAUGGUGAGCAACGGCGACCCCGGAGUAUUUGGCGAGGCAGGCAUCGGGCCGAAGAUCCGCCGCGUCCACGACUGGGUUCCCGAGGGUUGCGGUUUGCUUUCAUGGUGCACAUUAGAAGGGACCGGUACAUGUUCGAUGCAAAGGAUAAGAAGAAAUACCAAGGAGGUUUUGAUUAUCGGUUGCCAAUGGCUAGUAAUUGGAGUUUCAGACAAUUUGGGGAGGUAAUUUGUAGCCAAUAUCCUUGGGGUUUGCUUGAUGAAGUGGUAUACAAAUACUACGAUGGGGAAAAGAAUUGGGUGACAGUUAGUAAUGAUGAAGAGCUAGCUACCAUGUUUGUUAGGCAUAAAGAGAAAGAUAAUUUUCAUGUGAGGCUGCAAGUUGAUGUGCUUGAGCAGGCAUUUGGACCUAGGAUGGCGGGUGCAACAUCUCGGGGAGAAUCAAGUCGUCGUAAUGGCAUCUCUAGCCAGAACAGUUCAGUUGGUGCACGGCGACGUGGUGGCUCGACAAGUGUGGGCAACAGCAUCCGUGUGGAUGAUGAUGCGACGGGUGAGGACGAAGACCUUGCAGCUGUUGAAUGGGACCCUUUGAACCCUCAUAUGGAAGAAGGUACAAUUUUUGCAUCCAUGAAUAAGUGUAGAAAUGCACUUGUGACAUACUGCAUCAAGGUAGAACGUACUUUCAAAGUUGACAAGAGCGAUCAAGUCAAAGUGAACCCUUUUAAGCACACAUGCCAGGAAUCAACCCUUAGGAAGGAUACAAUCAGUAGAGAUAAUUUCGAUGAAGGCUUCGAUGAAAAUGUUGGUCAGCAGCCGGUUGCCUCAACAGAUGAUGAAAAUGAUGGUCAACAGCCGGUUGCAUCAGAUGAGGAUUUUGAUGAGGUUCCAAAUGAUGAUGGUCAAACGCCGCAUGAUUUUGACGAUGAUCUGAAAUAUCCUCCAAAUAAUGAUUCAAGUGAGGCUCCAAAUGGUGAUCCAAGUGAGGCUCUAAAUGGUGAUCAUGGUGAUCCAAGUGAGGCUCCAAAUGAUGAUCCAAGUGAGGCUCCAAAUGGUGACCAACUUUCUGUUGUUCUCUAUGGUAGGUUUGAAGAAGACGUGCAAGGUACCGACAACCAAGAGAAGAAGAGAAGAAACAAUGAGCACAAGGUGCACGAGGAGCAAAGUGAUGGCAAGAAGCUCAAGGAACAGACAGAAGCCCCAACGCUAUCUAUGAAUAAUUAUGAAACAUUAUGA